GAUGAACGCUAGCGGCAGGCCUAACACAUGCAAGUCGAGGGAGGAGCUUUCGGGCUUCGACCGGCGUACGGGUGCGUAACGCGUAUACAAUCUGCCUUUCACAUAGGGAUAGCCCGAAGAAAUUUGGAUUAAUACCUAAUGGUAUAUAGAGGUGGCAUCACCUUUAUAUUAAAGCUGAGGCGGUGAAAGAUGAGUAUGCGUUCUAUUGGCUAGUUGGAGAGGUAACGGCUCCCCAAGGCGACGAUAGAUAGGGGUUCUGAGAGGGAUAUCCCCCACACUGGUACUGAGAUACGGACCAGACUCCUACGGGAGGCAGCAGUGAGGAAUAUUGGACAAUGGUCGGAAGACUGAUCCAGCCAUGCCGCGUGCAGGAAGACGGCCUUAUGGGUUGUAAACUGCUUUUGCAGGGGAAGAAUAAGGACUACGCGUAGUUUGAUGACGGUACUCUGCGAAUAAGCAUCGGCUAACUCCGUG
rnacentral:rRNA from 1 species